AGUUUGAUCCUGGCUCAGGAUGAACGCUAGCUACAGGCUUAACACAUGCAAGUCGAGGGGCAGCGGGAUUGAAGCUUGCUUCAAUUGCCGGCGACCGGCGCACGGGUGAGUAACGCGUAUCCAACCUUCCGUACACUCAGGGAUAGCCUUUCGAAAGAAAGAUUAAUACCUGAUGGUAUGAUGAGAUUGCAUGAUAGCAUCAUUAAAGAUUUAUCGGUGUACGAUGGGGAUGCGUUCCAUUAGGUAGUAGGCGGGGUAACGGCCCACCUAGCCAACGAUGGAUAGGGGUUCUGAGAGGAAGGUCCCCCACAUUGGAACUGAGACACGGUCCAAACUCCUACGGGAGGCAGCAGUGAGGAAUAUUGGUCAAUGGACGAGAGUCUGAACCAGCCAAGUAGCGUGAAGGAUGAAGGUCCUACGGAUUGUAAACUUCUUUUAUACGGGAAUAAAGUAUCCUACGUGUAGGAUUUUGUAUGUACCGUAUGAAUAAGCAUCGGCUAACUCCGUGCCAGCAGCCGCGGUAAUACGGAGGAUGCGAGCGUUAUCCGGAUUUAUUGGGUUUAAAGGGAGCGCAGACGGGAGAUUAAGUCAGUUGUGAAAGUUUGCGGCUCAACCGUAAAAUUGCAGUUGAUACUGGUUUCCUUGAGUGCAGUUGAGGCAGGCGGAAUUCGUGGUGUAGCGGUGAAAUGCUUAGAUAUCACGAAGAACCCCGAUUGCGAAGGCAGCUUGCUAAACUGUAACUGACGUUCAUGCUCGAAAGUGUGGGUAUCAAACAGGAUUAGAUACCCUGGUAGUCCACACGGUAAACGAUGGAUACUCGCUGUUGGCGAUAUACUGUCAGCGGCCAAGCGAAAGCAUUAAGUAUCCCACCUGGGGAGUACGCCGGCAACGGUGAAACUCAAAGGAAUUGACGGAAG
rnacentral:rRNA from 1 species